GAUUAAAGGAAUACCGAAUGGUUUUCCAUGCAGGAUUGCGUGAUCCAUGCACAUGAGAUGUCGCAAGUCUUUCAGAAAGUGUACAAAUACUCGAGCAGGCGAGUGUAUUUUUAUACUUGCCGAAAGUCGAUCAACAUCCCAAAUGCAUGGAUCACACUAUCCUGCUUGGGAAACCAUUUGGUAAUUGUUUUAUG